UAACUGUGCCUGAGCUGUCAUUAAACACUAGGUUAUGACAGGGUUACUGGAUUUUCUACUAUUUUAUUUAAAGAAUGGGUGGGAGGCAGCUUCAGCAGGAAUAAUGCACUAAAACAACCCACAUUUUGCAGCAUAUAUGCUUCAAGUUCCCAUAAGGCAGCGACACACAGAAUUUAAUAGCAAAGUCUCCUUUUGCCUCUCCCAGAAAGCAUAAAAGUGGCAGCUUAUACAUUCUCUUUAACUUACAGAAGCCAAGGAGACUUUUACUGAAGACACCUAAAAAGACAUUACAAGGCACCUCUGGCAAUGAAAUGAGUAUCUCCCUAUUUCAGCAAGAAGAAUAGAAACUCUAGCUCUUCUCUCUCCACGGUAAUACAAGGCACGAUAAAGGAAAAGCAUACAAACAAGGAAACUGGUAGUGCAAUUAAUUUUGGUACUUGUAGUACCCUGGAAAAGCAACACAAGCAUCCUACAGAAGAGCAAAGGAAUAAGCACCAACCCCGGUGCUGGGCAGGUGCUGGGUUGCCCUUCAGAGCUGGAGAUCUUCAAAGAACUUCUGGAGAGGACCAAAAUCCUCAGCUGCAUAGCUGCAGCAUCAGGCACCAAGGUGGAGAGCAGAACAAGGCUGGGAGCCAGCCUUGAGCAGAACCUCCAGAGGAGAGCAGAGCCACCAGAGGAGAGCAGAACAAGGCUGGGAGCCAGCCCUAUGCAGGUACAUCUUUUCCCUUGCUAAGGCAAAACCCCUCCAGCUCUGCACCAUGCAGCCCUCUUCAAUGACAGCAAGCAGCUUUGGAGAUUUUGACCAAACCUCUGUAGAGACCUGUUUAGAUUUUUCCGGGGGCAAAGGAGUUUCUGGAGUUACAAGACCUCAGUUGAGGGGCUUGAAGGAAUCUCUUGGCAUUGGGUGAAUAUUGCUGCCAAGCUGCCAAAUAGCAUUCCAGCAGAGAAUAUUGAUGGACCCCAAUGUGAAAUUAAGAAACCAUCCAAUCCAUUUAUCAGC
rnacentral:lncRNA from 1 species